rnacentral:rRNA from 1 species
CCGGCGCACGGGUGAGUAACACGUAUCCAACCUGCCGUCUACUCUUGGACAGCCUUCUGAAAGGAAGAUUAAUACAAGAUGGCAUCAUGAGUCCGCAUGUUCACAUGAUUAAAGGUAUUCCGGUAGACGAUGGGGAUGCGUUCCAUUAGAUAGUAGGCGGGGUAACGGCCCACCUAGUCUUCGAUGGAUAGGGGUUCUGAGAGGAAGGUCCCCCACAUUGGAACUGAGACACGGUCCAAACUCCUACGGGAGGCAGCAG